rnacentral:rRNA from 1 species
GAGUUUGAUCGUGGCUCAGAUUGAACGCUGGCGGCAUGCCUUACACAUGCAAGCCGAACGGCAGCACGGGAGCUUGCUCCUGGUGGCGAGUGGCGAACGGGUGAGUAAUGCAUCGGAACGUAUCCUGGAGUGGGGGGAUAACGUAGCGAAAGUUACGCUAAUACCGCAUAUUCUGUGAGCAGGAAAGCGGGGGACCUUCGGGCCUCGCGCUCUUGGAGCGGCCGAUGUCGGAUUAGCUAGUUGGUGAGGUAAAGGCUCACCAAGGCGACGAUCCGUAGCAGGUCUGAGAGGAUGAUCUGCCACACUGGAACUGAGACACGGUCCAGACUCCUACGGGAGGCAGCAGUGGGAAUUUUGGACAAUGGGGGCAACCCUGAUCCAGCCAUGCCGCGUGAGUGAAGAAGGCCUCGGUU